rnacentral:rRNA from 1 species
AGUCAAUAGAUACCCUGGUAGUCCUGGCCGUAAACGAUGUCGACUAGAUCGCAGUUCCUUCAAACGGUAUUGCGGUCGAAAGCAAAAGUAGCUAAGUCGACCGCCUGGGAAGUACGGUCGCAAGGCUAAAACUCAAAGAAAUUGACGGGGGCUCACACAAGCGGUGGAGCAUGUGGUUCAAUUCGAAGCAACGCGCAGAACCUUACCUGGGCUUGACAUGCUAGGAUUAUCCCUAUGAAAGUAGGGUAGGCCCUUCGGGUACAACUAGUACAGGUGCUGCAUGGCUGUCGUCAGCUCGUGUCGUGAGAUGUCGGGUUAAGUUCCCUUAACGAGCGAAACCUUUGCCCUUAGUUACUAACGGGUUAUGCCGAGGACUCUAAGGGGACUGCCGGUGUCAAACCGGAGGAAGGUGGAGAUGACGUCAAGUCCUCAUGGCCUUUAUGCCCAGGGCCACACACGUGCUACAAUGGGGUGCACAGAGCGAACCGAGAGCGCAAGCUGGAGGAAAAUCGCAU